rnacentral:rRNA from 1 species
AGAGAGACUGUGCUGGCCAUUUGAACAAGAUGGCAUGUGCACGUCCCCUCGUCUUCUUUCAUCCAUCAUAUACCCUCACACCUGUGCACCAAUUGUAGAUCUUUCAAUGUUGAUGUCGACAGAAGUCCUUGUUAGCUUAGUUACUAGGCAGUCUUUCGAAAGAGAGGCUGGCGAAAGCAAGCUAGGGGAUGAAAGUUGAUGUUGAUGUUGAGGGUAGAAUCAAAGUUGAUGUCGAUGGAAGUCCUUGAUGCUCUUCCGGCGAGUUAGCUUAGUUACUAGGGCAGUCUUUAGGCUGGCGAAAACAAGCAGAAGCAGGAAGAAGCAAGAGGAUGAAAGUUGAUGUCGAUGUUGACGAUAUCAGAGAUCUAUGUUUUUAUCAUCACACACUAUUGUAUGGCCAGAAUGUUAAUAAAUAAAAUACAACUUUCAGCAAUGGAUCUCUUGGUUCUCGCAUCGAUGAAGAACGCAGCGAAUUGCGAUAAGUAAUGUGAAUUGCAGAUUUCCAGUGAAUCAUCGAAUCUUUGAACGCAUCUUGCGCUCCUUGGUAUUCCGAGGAGCAUGCCUGUUUGAGUGUCAUUUAAUUAUCAACCGUCAUUCUUUAGGGAAUGAUGGCUUGGAGUUGGGAGUUGCUGGCGGGUCCGUCAGCUCUUCUUAAAAGCAUUAGCGACUAUCAAGUCUUUUGACAUGCACGGCCAUUGACGUGAUAAUGAUCGUCGUGGCUGGAGUGUCUCUCCUAGACUAUCGCUUCUAACAGAAGAGAUCCUCUAUCUUUAUUCAAGCUUAGCUACUAGGCAGUCUUUCGAGGCUGGCGAACACAAGCGAGAGAAAAGGGAGGGGAUCGAAGUUGACAUUGAUGUAAAUCCUAAUCCGAUGCUUGAUCAGCUUAGUUACUAGGCAGUCUUAGACUGGCGAAAGCAAGCAAGAUUGAGAGAAGGGCAAGGAUCGUAGUCAAG